AUGACUUUCAUCCCCGUCUUCAUCUGGACACUGAUCCUCUGGACUCAAGAAUGCAGAGGUCAAGCCACAGUAACUCAGACUCCUGCAGUGAAAUCUGCUCUUCCAGGAGAAACAGUCACCAUCAACUGUAGAACCAGUCAGGCAGUGUUUAGUAGUAACUACUUACACUGGUAUCAGCAGAAACCUGGAGAAGCUCCUAAACUCCUGGUUAAGCUCGCAAAUCAGCGACAGUCAGGUAUUCCAGCUCGUUUCAGUGGCAGUGGAUCUGGAUCUGAUUUCACUCUGACCAUCAGUGGAGUCCAGACUGAAGAUGCAGGAGAUUACUACUGUCAGAGUUUGCAUUACAUCAGUAGCAACUACGUGUUCACACAGUGUUAUAGAGUCGUACAAAAACCUCCCUCAGUCAGAUUGUAGAGAGACUGAACUGCUGCAGCUGGGAGAGACUGCAGGUGCUGAGUUGGAGGAUGUGAUACGACACAAUGACACUCUGUGGAGGAGAGGAACCAAAACAUAUACAAUAUCCAUUACUUAAGCAUUCACACUCUUUGCAUUUUUCAAUAUUUUGUAGUGUUGCAACGUGGAACUGAAAUGCACAAAAUGCACUGAGAUUAAAUCUCAUUAAGCAACACAAAACAUCCCAUAAUAGUGAAGACUGGGGAAAAUGAAUAGUUUGCAAAAAGUAUUCAUGAAACAACAUUUUAAAUGCUUUGAUUGUAUAAAUUUUCACCCUUGUUUGUGGCUUAAUUCUGAUAUAUUUGUUUUAUUGUAGUCAGAGCUGAGUACAAACUACAAAGUGCUCACAUGGAACAUCUCAUCAACCCCAUAACCUUUAAUAACAAAGCUUAGUCUAUAUCUGUUUCUUAUCACACAUGAUGACAUCAGUCUGACUCCUCAUGUCGAAACACUCCACCUAUUUUUAUUUUGUGGAAACUCUGAGCCUUUUCUAGACACAAUUAUAUUUUACUUUUACAUUUUACAUUUCCAGUUCAGUUUUAAUAUAAAACAUAAAAAUAAAUGUCUCAUCCCUAUUAUUAUGGUUUUUUAUUUUUUUAUUUUUUAAGAUUCUGCAGUUUGAAACUUUUUCAUUUCAUGUUAAGAAGACAUCAUGGGUGUGUCAGUCACAAUCCCUUUUCCAUGUUAAUUAUUCUAAGCUUAUGGCUAAUUUAUGCAUUCUGAAUUAUAUGUUUUAGCUUAGACCUGGGAUAAACUUGAUUUUCUCCAUCAGUGUGCUUUCACAGUGGACAGAUUCUCCCAGACUUCAACUACACGUGUCCCACACAACUAACACUAUCUGAGCAGAUUACCUGACCUUGACUCUAACUUCAACUUUAGAGGAGUUACAAUGGAUGCUGCGGUGCAGACUCUGUAUGUUUCUGAUAAUACUUACAAUACUAAGAAAGUUACUGUUAAUUCAUUAGCUACACAAAGACUGUUCAUGCUUAAUAGAUACACCUAAUCGGUGCACCCUUAUUGUCUUAUUAAACCAAUAAUAGAAAUAGUGUUCAAAACUAUUCAUGAUGUCACUUCGUCCAUUUACAAUGAGACAAAUUCAUAUAGCCCUCAUAUGUCCCACAUGUCACAUGUAGGGCACAUGCAGAAAUUACUGCAGUUAUUUUAAUGUUGUUGAAGGCCUCUUAGUUGAUAUUGAUCUUGAUUGAUAGUUUUCAACAAUAUCACAUCACUGCCUUUCCAAUUCGGUGUUACCAAGAAAUCCCAAAGGAACAGCUGUACAUUAUUUGGGAUUAAUCAGUCAUUUUAACUGAUAGCAGGUGUAUACUAUCUAGUAUAUUAAAUGAGGUAAAAUGUGACCUGGUUGAUCCUGAGCAUUGCCAAAUUCAGAGUUAUAGAAGGUUGUGCACACAUAUGCAAAUUGGGUAUUGGAUGUGUUUGUUUAUUUUUUCCCUAAAACAUUUCAGGUUGUCUGUCAAUUGGUUUUUACAUAAAGCAAAAUCACAAAAAGGUGAAAAGGUUUCAUAGUUUGAUUAUUUUGACCUUUUAUAUGCACUGUAGUUGUCAUGCUGUCAUACUCAGCAUCAUAUUUGCAGCAUCUGGCAGAUGAGUUUCCAUACUGAGAGGACACUUUGCAUUGGCAGCA